rnacentral:rRNA from 1 species
AUGAACGCUGGCGGCGUGCCUAAUACCUGCCAGUCGAGCGAACAGACGAGGAGCUUGCUCCUCUGACGUUAGCGGCGGACGGGUGAGUAACACGUGGAUAACCUACCUAUAAGACUGGGAUAACUUCGGGAAACCGGAGCUAAUACCGGAUAACAUGUUGAACCGCAUGGUUCAACAGUGAAAGACGGUCUUGCUGUCACUUAUAGAUGGAUCCGCGCCGCAUUAGCUAGUUGGUAAGGUAACGGCUUACCAAGGCAACGAUGCGUAGCCGACCUGAGAGGGUGAUCGGCCACACUGGAACUGAGACACGGUCCAGACUCCUACGGGAGGCAGCAGUAGGGAAUCUUCCGCAAUGGGCGAAAGCCUGACGGAGCAACGCCGCGUGAGUGAAGAAGGUCUUCGGAUCGUAAAACUCUGUUAUUAGGGAAGAACAAAUGUGUAAGUAACUAUGCACGUCUUGACGGUACCUAAUCAGAAAGCCACGGCUAACUACGUG